GGAGGCAUGGCUUAGUAGUAUAGUGCCAGCCUAGCAAGCAUGAAGUCCUGAGUUCAAACUCCAGUGCCACCA
rnacentral:tRNA from 1 species